GCUUAGAAGCAGCCACUCAUUAAAAGAGUGCGUAAUAGCUCACUGGUCGAGUGACUCUGCGCCGAAAAUUUAACGGGGCUAAACUAUACACCGAAGCUUGGGAUACAUCUAAUGUAUGGUAGGAGAGCGUUCUGUAUGGGGAGAAGUCGUAGCGAAAGCGGCGGUGGACUAUACAGAAGUGAGAAUGCCGGAAUAAGUAGCGAGAAUUAAGUGAGAAUCUUAAUGGCCGAAAGUCUAAGGUUUUUGGAGGAAGGUUCGUCCGCUCCAAGUAAGUCGGGAGCUAAGGUCAGGCCGAAAGGCGUAGCCGAUGCACAUACGGUUGAUAUUCCGUAACCAUCUGUAAUUUAAGCAAAGGGACACUUCAAAAGGGUGUGACCCGGGCGUUGGUUGACCCGGGCGUAAGGGACCGAAAUUAGAGUAGGGAAGCACACUUAGCUGAAGGCGAGAAAAGCUUUGCGUAUAGAAACAGAUGCCCGUACCGCAAACCGACACAGGUGGACAGGAAGAGAAUUCUAAGGCCAGCGGGAGAAGGGUAGUUAAGGAACUCGGCAAAUUGACUCCGUAACUUCGGAAUAAGGAGUGCUCGAAAGAGCCGCAGAGAAUAGGCCCAGGCGACUGUUUAGCAAAAACACAGGUCUCUGCCAAAUCGAAAGAUGAAGUAUAGGGGCUGACACCUGCCCGGUGCCGGAAGGUUAAGAGGAGGAGUGAGAGCUCCGAAUUGAAGCCCCGGUAAACGGCGGCCGUAACUAUAACGGUCCUAAGGUAGCGAAAUUCCUUGUCGGGUAAGUUCCGACCCGCACGAAUGGUGUAACGAUCUGGGCACUGUCUCAACUACCCACCCGGCGAAAUUGUAGUACCGGUGAAGAUGCCGGUUACCUGCGGCAAGACGGAAAGACCCCAUGGAGCUUUACUGUAGCCUGAUAUUGGGUUUCGGAAAUCUAUGUACAGGAUAGGCGGGAGACUUGGAAACAUGAGCGUCAGCUUGUGUGGAGUCGAUGUUGGGAUACCGCCCUUAGGUUUCUGGAAUUCUAACCUGCGGCCGUGAAUCCGGUCGGGGGACAUUGUCAGGUGGGCAGUUUGACUGGGGCGGUCGCCUCCGAAAAGGUAACGGAGGCGCUCAAAGGUUAGCUCAGCACGGACGGAAACCGUGCCUCUGAGUGUAAACGCAAAAGCUAGCCUAACUGCGAGGGUGACGGCCCGAGCAGUAACGAAAGUUGGAGUUAGUGAUCCGGCGGUAUGUGAAUGGAAAUGCCGUCGCUCAACGGAUAAAAGCUACCCUGGGGAUAACAGGCUGAUCUCCCCCAAGAGUCCACAUCGACGGGGAGGUUUGGCACCUCGAUGUCGGCUCAUCACAUCCUGGGGCUGUAUUCGGUCCCAAGGGUUCGGCUGUUCGCCGAUUAAAGUGGUACGCGAGCUGGGUUCAGAACGUCGCGAGACAGUUCGGUCCCUAUCUGUCGUGGGCGCAGGAUAUUUGAGGAGCUCUGUCCUUAGUACGAGAGGACCGGGAUGGACGUACCUCUGGUGCACCAGUUGUCAUGCCAAUGGCACGGCUGGGCAGCUAUGUACGGAACGGAUAAACGCUGAAAGCAUCUAAGCGUGAAGCCGACUCCAAGAUUAGAUAUCCCAUCGUAUAACGAGUAAGACCCCUUGAAGACUACGAGGUUGAUAGGCUGCGUGUGUAAGUGCCGUGAGGCAUUCAGCUUGGCAGUACUAAUAGGUCGAGGGCUUGACCA
rnacentral:rRNA from 1 species